rnacentral:rRNA from 1 species
AUUGAACGCUGGCGGCAUGCCUUACACAUGCAAGUCGAACGGCAGCAUGGGUGCUUGCACCUGAUGGCGAGUGGCGAACGGGUGAGUAAAGCAUCGGAACGUACCCGGAAGUGGGGGAUAACGUAGCGAAAGUUACGCUAAUACCGCAUAUUCUGUGAGCAGGAAAGCAGGGGCUCGUAAGACCUUGCGCUUUCGGAGCGGCCGAUGUCGGAUUAGCUAGUUGGUGAGGUAAAGGCUCACCAAGGCGACGAUCCGUAGCGGGUCUGAGAGGAUGAUCCGCCACACGGGGAAUGAGACACGGCCCAGACUCCUACGGGAGGCAGCAGUGGGGAAUUUUGGACAAUGGGCGGAAGCCUGAUUCAGCCAUGCCGCGUGAGUGAAGAAGGCCUUCGGGUUGUAAAGCUCUUUUGUCAGGGAAGAAAUAGCUUGGGUUAAUACCCUGGGCGGAUGACGGUACCUGAAGAAUAAGCACCGGCUAACUACGUGCCAGCAGCCGCCGUAA